ensembl:lncRNA
GGAGGGGCGGAGGAAAAAGGCAAAUCCGUACAGAUUAUUAUUCAUGGGGAGGGAUUGGCCUUUUCAGGACUCCUUUAUUGGCCGGUUCGUUUUCCAACACGUCAUCCUCUCUAUCAGCGGCUGACAAGUGCCAAUCAAAGGGCCUGGAUGAAUCCAGGUUUGAAAAAGGGCAAGGAGGGAGAGAAAACGAUGGUGGAUUUCGGAGGAGACAAUGGCCGCUGAGCCCACAGUAGCAGUGGUUUAGAGACAAUGGUGACACAGCUACAUUGUCAGUGUGUGGUCCUCUGGGGGAGGGGGGGACACCAUUCUGCUUGGAACACGACUAAUCUCUGCUCCAGUGUCUUUCCCUUCUUUUUCACCGGCCAUAAUCUGUCCAGCUAGUGGCUCCCCGAAGCCUUCCGGAACAAUCUACCAUGGUCAGUCCAGAUUAGUCCUCUUUGUGGCCCCGCCUCAUAACAAUAUUCACUUAGGGCACUGACGUCUUCAGUAACAGCUGAAUGCUAAACUCUGGGGUAAACACAGGAGUGAUGGGGCCGAAUUGAAACAGUCAUGAAACAAUUAUGAAGGGGAUUAUAGUACCUAUGAAUUAGUUAUGACAGAGAGAGAGGGACAAAGACCUUAUCAGAGAGCUCACUGGGGACAGACCACAUAGCUUACUGACUUAUCUUAUUGCAUGAUGUUUCUGACGGGGUAAGUCGUUGGCCUAAGUGGCAUUGGCCUGUAUUCUACCUAUUGGUUCAUGCACAGGUGGAGUUUGUUUGGAACAAGCCACAUUAUAAAGCUAUGAAACUGUUAUAACAAAAAACUGAUAACGACGACAACAGGGUCUGUAUUUCACAUUUGUCGUAUAUUCUUUAUUUGGAUACAUACUUUUAGGUCAAAGUCCAUUGGAUUCGUAAAUUCAUACUGGAACGCCAUGCUGUCACUCUACAAUGCUGUCCCCACAGUGUCACAUUGAGUCCUAACAGUUUCACUCUAUGGACUACUUAGGGAGCUCUAUUGAGAGUUUUAACUGUGCCGUUCCUCCGCUUGGAAACCCAAUCUCACCUAACCUAUGGCCACACAAAGCCAUCCCACACACUGGGCACCUCUCAAAGGCUCGCUGAACCCGGGGCUGACCCCUCAGCGCCCUCCCCAUGACCCUCUCCUGGGCUCUGACCAUGUCUUUGGCCUCCCAGAGGUCAUUGUGCACGAGCACACAGACCAUCACCAAGGAUACCUGGGAGGAUCUUUUUUUAUGUGACAAGUUUGUUCUCGCAGAGCUGCAGUAAAUAAGACCGUCUUUUGGGGUUACGGGAUGUUUAGGUCUCCACCACAACAAACGGCUGUCUUAUGUCCAAUGAGCAUUAUGAGCGUUCCAUUGCAGGCGUGUAAAAUAGAGGUAAUAAUACAGUGGGAAAACUUUACUAUCCCACAUUAAGACAUCUCACUAAAAUGUCACUCACCCCUGUCAUUUAAGGAGGUAAGGGCCUGGCUGGUUUGGUCACUUCCCUCGGACUCCUCCCCAUCUGUAAGUUAACAUAGAUGUAGUCAUGUGACACAGCUCCUGGUAUCUGACCAGGGAGUGUAACCCACCAGUCAUGGUGUCCUGACAUCAGACAACAAGCAGUGGAGCCAAGAGGACAUGUUACAUGUCGCUGUGGCCUUGGUCGUAGUUAACGGCUGAGCACGGUGGCCUUCAUGCACGGCCGCUGAAUCACAGGUAUGACAACUGGGUUUGUAAUGGUGCUGUCGCUGAGCCGCGACACAGCGAGCCAUGGGCCAUUGGUGUCUCCCGACCACUCCUGUCUCAGCCUCCAGUAUUUAUGCUGUAGUAGUUUGUGUGUCGGGGUGCUAUCCGUUGUCCUGUGUGAAUUUAAGUAUGCUCUCUCUUUUUCUCGCUCUCGGGGGACCUGAGCCCUAGGACCAUGCCUCAGGACUACCUGGACUGAUGACUCCUUGCUGUCCCCAGUCCACCUGGCCAUGCUGCUGCUCCAGUUUAAACUGUUUGACCUGCGGCUAUGGAAUCCUGACCUGUUCACCGGACGUGCUACCUGUCCCAGACCUGCUGUUUUCAACUGACAUUUACUCCUGAGGUACUGACCUGUUGCACCCUCGACAUCCACUGUGAUUAUUAUUUUGACCCUGCUGGUCACCUAUGAACAUUUGAACAUCUUGGCCAUGUUCUGUUAUAAUCUCCACCCGGCACAGCCAGAAGAGAACUGGCCACCCCUAAUUGCCUUGUUCCUCUCUAGGUUUCUUCCUAGGUUCUGGCCUUUCUAGGGAGUUUUUCCUAGCCACUGUGCUUCUACACCUGCAUUGCUUGCUGUUUGGGGUUUUGGCUGGGUUUCUGUACAGCACUUUGAGAUAUCAGCUGAUGUAAAGAAGGGCUUUAUAAAUACAUUUGAUUUGGUUAGGGCCAACAUAACACAAUGACUGAUACAGGAGAGUCACUCAGCGUUAAAACACAUGGCAUGACCUCAGGCUGAGGACAGAUAUAGUGAAACAGAGGUGGAGAAAGAACAAAAAGGUCAAAGAAGAACGUGAUGAGAAGAAAGAGGGAAAGUUUUAGCUAAAAAAAUGUAUCUCUCUGCUUCACAGAAGGGAGAGAAAUGGGAAGGAGUGUACACAAGACGGCCACACAGGAGAGGACCACUCUGCUCGCCAGCCGGCUCUACGGAGGAUUAUCAGGCUUAAGUGUACCGGACGCAGAGAAACACGGCCAAACACAGCGGUGACAGUAAGAACACAAUGGCUUUGAAUAUGACCCGCUCUAGUAUGGACAGAGGGGGCUUUUACGGAGACCAAACCCUCAUGUUAAGGACAGCCUCUUGUAGGUAUUGACUGAUUAAAGAUAGCUGCUAAGGGUUUCCUGAGCUGUAUGCUUCGUUUCAGAGAGAAGGGUCGAAUGCAUAAUAUGCAGAGCAAGCUGAAGUACAAUGAUUUAGGAUAUCAAAUCAUUAAGGUUGUUAAGCGAUCACGUUCAUUAAGUGUGGAUGUGACAAGAGUUAUAUGAUGCAGGACUCGCAUUGGGAACUGGUGGACCCCGAUAUGAUGCCUGACGGACUGGAAUCACUGAUCCAUGACGACGGUGACCUGGAACCAUCCUCGGUGUGGCACUGCUGAAAACACAAGCAUAAAACCGUGACACGACGAUCACAUUAUUCAGUCUGACCUGUGUUCAAACUACAUUGACCAAUCAAGCAUGACUAUUACAACAAAAAACAAACAAACAUUAUAACCACAUAAUGAGGGACAAAUCCCGUACCAGCACACUAGACUCUAACCCUGUGGUGUAGUAGUGGUCCAUUAUGCAAAUAGCCUAACAUGAAUCAUGCCCCGGGUACUCAGAACGCUUCAUUGUGGUUAGACAUAAUCACAGGGGGCUUAUAAGACACAUUGAGCCUUUCAGAGAGCAGAGGAAGCUCUCUCCUCCAUCAUAAAGAGGAGAUGAAUAGUCUAUCGCGUGGAGCACCUGCAUCCAUUCCACUGCACCCCGGCACUCGCAGUGCUGCGUUUACCCCCUGACCCCUCACCCCUGACCCUGUCUGAUCCAUCCCACCAGCGGCGCAUCCUCCAAAAGAGUCCCCCCUGUAUAGAGCCACAUCUAAGUGUGAGUGAGUGGACCCCCUUUGGAUAGAGCAGUGGGCUGAGUGGAGCGUGGUGUAAAUAGGCUGUCUGCUCUUUCAGUGGUACAGUCACCAGCCUCUCCCUCCGGUGGCCUGUGACUGAUUAACUACACACCUGCUGCACUGCACGCUUCUCUCACUAUUGUUAUAGUGUGUUUCAAUUAUCAACAACAAUUUGGCUGCUUGAUCCGGGAUGGCAGUUACAAAUUCACGCCAGUUCAAGUUUAUACUGUAAAUAGAGGUCUUUGUCUCAGUCAGUGUCUGUGUGUUUGUAUAGUCCGUGUUUAAACAACAAUGUGCAAUAGUCAUUUAAGGAGACGGAUGAAAGCUACAAGGGGGAAUUGUUGUGAGGGGUAGUUUGAGGAGGGGCUACGACACUCACCAUUGUGUGGUCACCCUGUCCCUGGACUUUGCCUGUGGCGACACACCUCUCAGACACACUGUCGUCUCCACAGCUGCCAGCUGUGAGGGGUUGCAGGACGCCUGACAACACACACACACACACACAUCCAUGCAGGCAUGCACACACACCAAUUUGAAGACACAAACUGGAUAGAUAGUCUGUGCGCGUGCCAAUGUGCCCGGUGUACACGCUUGCGUGUGGGUUUUCCUUUGUGUUUGAGUGCGUGCACCGAUAUGAGUAAUGCCAUGUAUUAGUCAAAAGUAUGGUUCCUAAUCUCUCUGCAAACACUGAUAUAAAAAGAGGGGGGGAAAAAACAUGGAGGAGCACCUGUCUCGCAGAAGCAUGCCAGGUGCAAACACAGAAUGGGAAAACAUUGUUCUGGAGACACACCUAAGAGGACAGACAGACAGACGAGCUCCCUGCAGUGUCUACAUCUCCAGGCAGGCCACAGUGAUACGUCAACGAGUGAAGAGGAUUUAGUUUGAUUCAAUGACUGUAUUCAAGGCCAUUGCCAAUUCAGAGGAGAAGCAUCACACUGAGCAUUAGUACUGUCAAUGUCAUGGAAAACAAGUUACACAUCCUUUGUUUGCCUAUAAAACUACAAUAGGACGUGCUUAUUUCCAACUGUUUGCGCAUCGACCACUUACGUUCCUUUUACCACUUUACAGGACGUUUGUUCUACUUUCUAUGCCAUUUCUUGCAUCACCCAGACUGAUAUGCGCAUGCCGCACAGGCAUAAUCACAUCCAGAUUGUGCCAUUGUUAAAAUAGAUAUUUUUAACUAGUUGUCGGUGUGUCUGGGCUCAGGUCUCCAGGUUAAUGAUAAACGCAAGGCGGUUUGAUCUUUAUUAAUAUGGCAUAUCAUAUCCCAAUAAAACGUUUUGCCAAAGCCAGAAAUGAGCCUCCAUAUCUUUAUGGCCUUUCAGUUAAGAUGCUGCAGCAGCAUGCCUGGGAGCAGAUGAGAGGCGGUUCACACUGUAAAGACAUUACUCUCAAGGCCGGCCAACGACUGGCAGGCACACACCCAUAACGCUGCUUGGUAUUCCCCUGUCCAGGCUAUUCUACAGAAUACUCCUCUGUCUGGAUUUUCCCUGUUGUGAAAUCAACGGUUUUGCUGUUUCUAUCAAAGGUCAUAGUUUGGCUCAUUGUAACUGUCAAAAGAAACUGUCGAAGGAGUCUAGUAAUCUAGUAAUCUUACUGAGACAAUGUCUCAAACACAGUGUGUAUAUAAAGACAUGUGUCAGUCCAAUCAUAUUCACUGACUCACAAAUGAAUCACAGACUGGGUUGGGUGUUGAGUUGUAAAUCAGGGAUACCUGUAGUAUACAGCGUUGGACUCAGAGGUCUUCUGGCUCGGAGCGCCGCUGUGUGGCCUUUUGUUCCGUCUUCUGUUGGGGAGUACAUGUCCUGACCAGCGAGCCAGUGGGGCUCCACAGGGUCCGACCGGUCCAGGAGCUGCACACGGGACAGGGAGCCCAGGUCCCCUGAGUCACAGCCCACUGUCAGAGCAGCCAAGCCUGUGGACAUCUCUGCAGAGGUGGCAUACAGUAUACAGGACAACUGAAGCAUUAUGCGAAACAGCAUAUCCAACACAUCAGAACUAAAGCAUUAAAAAGGGACUAUGGGAGUCCAUUGGAUCAGUCCAUCUACUAACUCCUUUUUAAUUGAAUUUUUUUAUAUUUUCUUUGUCAUUUAGCAGACACUCUUAUCCAGAGCAACUUAGAGUAGUGAGUGCAUAGAUUUGUCAUACUGGUCCCAUGUGGGAAUCAAACCCACAGCCCUGGCAUUGCAAGUGCCAUGCUCUACCAACUGAGCCACACAGGACUCAACAAACAAUACAUUAGUCAGGACCAGAGUGACCACCUUCUCUGAUUCCCUACAUUCAGGGGGUUAUCACAGGGAUUCCAUUAGACAUGGAUAACCAGAGAUGGUAUAGGCCAAGGCCAGGGAUAGCCUCUCUGAACCAGAUUAGAGGUAGAGGAAAUAGUCCUGUAUGGAUCAGUGAGGUGUGUGUGCAAAUAUGACUGACAACCCUUAAGCUCCACCCCCCCAGUCCUAGGCUCCAGAGUUCUCUGUCACCGCCAAUUAAAAGGGGAUCAGUAACAGUGUGGGCUCCCUGCCCAUGCAAAUCCUCGGCCCACGCCGUCCAGGCAGAGAGCAGGGUGUGGAGCUGCUGUUCCCUGGGAGGGGAUUUCACACAGCCGCUGGGCUGGAGCUGCCUCAUAACACGCUCUGCUGCAGGUCAACCCUGCUUCUCCUCUCAAUGCACUCUCAGUCCCACCAUCUCAGCCAACCACACAGCAGCCAUAGUGGAAUGCAUUGUGUUUUAUAGCACAUAAAAAGUAUCACAUCUGGAUAGUUUUCUAGUUAAGUACAGUACUGCGUUUUUACAGUAUGCCCUUAGAAAUGAACUUUUAGAGACUUUGAGCGACUUGAAAUGAAUUCCACCUAGAUCAGGGGAAGACAACCCUGUUCCUGGAGUGAUGCAGGUACUGCAGGAUGACGUUCCAACUAGGCACCACACCUGACCAACAGAGCUAAUUACGCAGUUCAAUGAUUGCCUACAUUCAACACACCUGGUCUUCCAGGUCAGUUAAAUCAAAAACAUGAUGUGCCUGUGGACCUCUAGGACCAGGGUUGCCUACCCCUAUCAUAGGGAAUGCUCCUGCCUCUACAAUGUGUUGUGUGUGUCUCUGGGUGUGUUUCUGGUAAACCCCUUCAGGUGAGAAAAAAAGGGACUGGCUGUCUGAUUGAUGAAGGAGUUGUGGUGAAGGAAGUCCCGUGGUGAAACACAUUGUGAUGACACACUUUCAGUUAGACUGGGAGUUAACCCCCUCAUUAGCCAUGAGAAUGCAACCCAUUGUAAAGACACACUGUUACAGAUAACAAAGGUCUAACCCUGUGAUUAAAGUGUUAACUAGCUAUACUGCCAUCCAGACGGGGGUCACUGGAGUUUUGACAGACACACAUGGAUGCCUGUGAGUCAGUAGCAAAGUUUAAGCAGUCAGUCAGUUUAAGACAGUUUUACAUUUCUUUGCUUUCCAGGCUCUAUACGGAUGGUAGAUGUCUAUAUUUGUCAAUUGAGGAAGAUGUUACCCUCAGCACACCACAGAACAGAAGAGUGGAAUUAAGCUGCUGCAACAGUGGUGGUAGCUGACAUGAUCCCAUCACAUCCUCAGGGCAAAGGUCAGACGGAGGUUCAGGUCAAGCGAGCAGGUUAAACAUCCUAAACACCUUGUCAGGGAUUAGAGGGGAUGAGAGAAGCUUGAGGAAGUCCUCAGUGAGUGAGAAAAUCACUGUCUGCGUUGGGUAAUGUUUCCUUUCACAGCUCACUGAACUGACUAACUUCAGUAGACACACACACACACACAUUUACUGUACACACACAAAGACGUGACAGACUGUUCCACAACAGAGCGCCGAGAUCCACACAUCACCGUCACACCCCAGUCCAUUACAUGAGAGAGGCUGAGGAAGGAGUGCAUGUCCCAUUGAGGCAUUAACGGCGGUCAGACAAACAUGUCCACAACAACCACAAACAGGAAAAGGAAAUCAGGUGCCGUGACCUUUUCAUUGACAUAACUGUCUAAAUAACGCUAAUUAAUUCUAACACCAUGGACUGCCUAGGUAGAAACAACUCUAAACAUAGAGUAGUUAAGCAUUCACCUGCUAUAAAAAAAUAAACGGUUAAUUCACCAACUUUGAUGCAAAGUAAAAAGCCUUCUUUUUCAAGUGUCUACAGUUUGAGGAGCACAUGUAUGCAUGCAUGACAUAAAUAUAGAGAACGUUUCUGAUGUUAUCGUUGUGUAGACCCUUGACAGGUAUGACAUCAGUGGUGUUUUAUACGAUCUACUGGACAUAAUCUGGGUGUACAGGACCUGUACCAGGUGGGCUGCAGUCUGCUGGGCUGAGUGGGUUGUCUAGGGACAGACAAGAGCGGGUCCGCGGGGCGAUGGCCUCCAGUUCAUCAAACACAUGGGACUGGCUAGAGCUGACCUGAGAACAGCGGGACGAGGAGGACACUGUCACCGUCAUCUGAAACAGCACAAGCAGGAUUGGCAUAUCACAUAGAGAAUAUACUACUGUACUGUGUUACGUGAUGCAAUAGAAAGAGAGGAUCCAUUCUGAGCAGAACCCCUAUUUAUUUAUUUACAGUGUUCCGACCAGCAUAAUAAAGUUCUGAAUCGGUUCGAUCCUCCUAAAAAAGUAAUGGUUUGUUCAUUUUUUAACCCUGUGAAAUCAACAUCAUUCUUUCAUUUAGUCCACCGAUAAGCGUGGAUAGAGCAGCUUGCUGUGGAACGUGUAAGCUAGUUGUUUACAUGUUUGAGGACAGAUAAGUGCAGGCGAGAGAUGUGACUGACGAGAGAUGUGACUGAAAUUUCACAGGGAGAGAGAGAGAGGAGUGGACGUGGAGGGGGCUUGGCUUGAAGUGCUGAGCACCAUGACAUGAUGUGAAUUGGAAUAUGUUUAACGUCACUGUAUUACAGAAUUACAGUAUAUACUAGACACUGGUUCUCAAGAUUUAAAAGUAACGGUUCUGUUCCGCAACACUAGAGAUCACUUUCUUUCCAGGUUCUGUUUCUGUUCCUCUAAAAAUAAAAUGGGUUUAUGCUGCUCCCUGAACCAGUUCCAACACCUGGUUGUAACUCAAUUAGUGCCAGACCGCCUGUCCCCUAAAGGCUUCAGAAACGGCUCGGUAUCAUACCCAUGCACACACAACAAACACACACUUCACUCAGACACCCAACAAACUCCCAUUCCUCCUUGCCCUGAGCCGGUGUCAUCAACCCUCCACCACCACCACCACAAUACCAGGACCUCCACGGGAGAGGAUGCCCCCCCAGGUGGAGUCUGUCAGCCUACACAGAGCCAGUCAGACCCUGGGGCUAUGGGAGAUGGUACUAUACACACAGGAGCAACGCUCUCCCUCUAAGCCCUCAUUACCACAUACCUCACUCACAGGACUGGCCAAACUGUCCGCCCUUAAAUCACUCAUUACUUGACUCUUCUCAAAACACACCUGUUUUCUUUGCCUUUUUUGUAGCGGUAACUGAAAAUAGUGUGCUGAGGGUUUCUGUCAUGAUGACAGCCUUAGAGAAUGAACUCUUCUUCUCUCAUGUGGACAUGUAAAAAAGAUAGCAGACAAACUAGUAAUAUAUACACAAGCAAAUAAAGAACACGCAAACUCAGCUCCUUUACGUCUGACUACACACACAAUUGUGCAUUCCAGUGCCUCGGCUCUCUACUCAGAGAGACAAUGGAGGGACUUGACUUGACACUUUAAAGCAUAUUGCUGCUGUCAAGUCAGCCGUCAUUCCGAGGAGUGCGACGGAGUCGGGAGGUGGUGUUUUGGGAAGGGGAGGUGGAUAGGGGGCGUAGGGGCAAGGCCAGGCAAGCCAGGAAGGAGUCAGCCCAGACAAGGCUCCUCUGUGUCUCCAUGUACCCCCCUGUCCCCCCACUCUGGCCACAUCGUGGGGCUGAAAGGCUGGGUGGUGUCCUGGGUCUGGGUGGUGGAGCGUCCGGGCCAGGGCAACACAAUAGGCCAGCGUCCCGCUCCAUCCCGCUC